AAAUCAAUUUAAUUUUUUUUGCAAAAUUUCUCAAAAAAAUGGCAAGGGGUACCCCUUAUGAAAUUUUCGAGUUGAAAAUUUUUUGAAAUUUUUUUUCUCAUUUUUUACACUUUUUUUAAUUUAAAGCAUUAUUUGAGUGAAAAGAAACUCAUUGCAACAAAUUCCCAUUAAAAUAUAUCACAUUUAUAAAUUUUGCUACAUUGGUGAAAAAUGAGGAAAAUUUUACAUUUUCUCAAACAGGGUAUGGAACUUGGUUCCGCGAAUAACUUCUGGCACAGACAUCUGAGAGCAUGGCCGUCCAAGAAGAAAAUGUAGCCAUUGGUGCCAUCUAUCGACCACAGGUUAAAGAUUGGCGAUCCGUUGGAUACCGACCGAGUUAUAGGCAAAAGUUGGUGCAAAAAUGAGGAAAAUUUUACAUUUUCUCAAACAGGGUAAGGAACUUGGUUCCUCAAAUAACUUCUGGCACAGACAUCUGAGGGCAAGGCCGUCCAAGAAGAAAAUGUAGCCAUUGUUGCCAUCUAUCGACCACAGGUUAAAGAUUGGCGAUCCGUUGGAUACCGACCGAGUUAUAGGCAAAAUUUGGUGCAAAAAUGAGUCUUAUGAAAUUUUCAAAUUUUUAUAUUUUUUCAAUUUUUUCUGAUUUUUUACUCUUUUUUAUAUUUUAAGCAUUAUUUGAGUGAAAAGAAAGUCAUUGCAACCAAUUGGCAUUAAAAUAAAUCAAUUUAAAUUUUUUUGCAAAAUUUCUCAAAAAAAUAGCAAGGGGUACCCCUUAUGAAAUUUUCGAGUUGAAAAUUUUUUGAAAUUUUUUUUCUCAUUUUUUACACUUUUUUUAAUUUAAAGCAUUAUUUGAGUGAAAAGAAACUCAUUGCAACAAAUUCCCAUUAAAAUAUAUCACAUUUAUAAAUUUUGCUACAUUGGUGAAAAAUGAGGAAAAUUUUACAUUUUCUCAAACAGGGUAUGGAACUUGGUUUCUCGAAUAACUUCUGGCACAGACAUCUGAGGGCAAGGCCGUCCAAGAAGAAAAUGUAGCCAUUGGUGCCAUCUAUCGACCACAGGUUAAAGAUUAGCGAUCCGUUGGAUACCGACCGAGUUAUAGGCAAAAGUUGGUGCAAAAAUGAGGAAAAUUUUACAUUUUCUCAAACAGGGUAAGGAACUUGGUUCCUCAAAUAACUUCUGGCACAGACAUCUGAGGGCAAGGCCGUCCAAGAAGAAAAUGUAGCCAUUGUUGCCAUCUAUCGACCACAGGUUAAGGAUUGGCGAUCCGUUGGAUACCGACCGAGUUAUAGGCAAAACUUGGUGCAAAAAUGAGGAAAAUUUUACAUUUUCUCAAACAGGCUAAGGAACUUGGUUCCUCGAAUAACUUCUGGCACAGACAUCUGAGGGCAAGGCCGUCCAAGAAAAAAAUGUAGCCAUUGUUGCCAUCUAUCGACCACAGGUUAAAGAUUGGCGAUCCGUUGGAUACCGACCGAGUUAUAGACAAAACUUGGUGCAAAAAUGAGGAAAAUUUUACAUUUUCUCAAACAGGGUAAGGAACUUGGUUCCUCGAAUAACUUCUGGCACAGACAUUUGAGGGCAAAGCCGUCCAAGAAGAAAAUGUAGCCAUUGUUGCCAUCUAUCGACCACAGGUUAAAGAUUGGCGAUCCGUUGGAUACCGACCGAGUUAUAGGCAAAAGUUGGUGCAAAAAUGAGGAAAAUUUUACAUUUUCUCAAACAGGGUAAGGAACUUGGUUCCUCGAAUAACUUCUGGCACAGACAUCUGAGGGCAAGGCCGUCCAAGAAGAAAAUGUAGCCAUUGUUGCCAUCUAUCGACCACAGGUUAAAGAUUGGCGAUCUGUUGGAUACCGACCGAGUUAUAGGCAAAAUUUGGUGCAAAAAUGAGUCUUAUGAAAUUUUCAAAUUUUUAUAUUUUUUUCAAUUUUUUCUGAUUUUUUACUCUUUUUUAUAUUUUAAGCAUUAUUUGAGUGAAAAGAAAGUCAUUGCAACCAAUUGGCAUUAAAAUAAAUCAAUUUAAUUUUUUUUGCAAAAUUCUCAAAAAAAUGGCA